AGUGAACGCUGGCGGUAGGCCUAACACAUGCAAGUCGAACGGCAGCACAGUAAGAGCUUGCUCUUACGGGUGGCGAGUGGCGGACGGGUGAGGAAUACAUCGGAAUCUACUUUUUCGUGGGGGAUAACGUAGGGAAACUUACGCUAAUACCGCAUACGACCUACGGUUGAAAGCAGGGGAUCUUCGGACCUUGCGCGAUUGAAUGAGCCGAUGUCGGAUUAGCUAGUUGGCGGGGUAAAGGCCCACCAAGGCGACGAUCCGUAGCUGGCCUGAGAGGAUGAUCAGCCACACUGGAACUGAGACACGGUCCAGACUCCUACGGGAGGCAGCAGUGGGGAAUAUUGGACAAUGGGCGCAAGCCUGAUCCAGCCAUACCGCGUGGGUGAAGAAGGCCUUCGGGUUGUAAAGCCCUUUUGUUGGGAAAGAAAAGCAGCAGGUUAAUACCCCGCUGUUCUGACGGUACCCAAAGAAUAAGCACCGGCUAACUUCGUG
rnacentral:rRNA from 1 species